rnacentral:lncRNA from 1 species
AAACUGUGAAAAUGGAGGCAAAUGCCUAGAGAGAUACCACGGUUACUCCUGCGAUUGCUCUAAUACUGCAUAUGAUGGAACAUUUUGCAACAAAGCUGGGUAACUGCCCCAGAGCCAAAUAAGGCAGAAGACCCAAGAUUUAGUGUCUGGAGGGGCUUCUUUUAUCUCUUGAAGAUUUGGAAGAUUGUGUUUUCCAAGGACGGCUGCCACAAAAGCUCUCCUGACACCUGUGCUUCCAGAGCCAAGUGACUGCUCCAUCAAGACGUGAUAUCUAGUUUUCCUCUCCAAGAAUCUGGACAGCCUUGGGACUUGCUUAAGCCAACAGAAUGUGGCAGAAAUUAUGCUGCCUGACUUCCAAAGCUAGGUUAUAGAGCCAAGGUGACACGUGCCUUGGGGACUGGGCCAUGCACAUUGGAGUACUGAUUGCCCAGGAAAGCAGUCAACUGCCCUGAGGCCACCAUGCUCAAGGAACUGCACUAGGUUACGUGGAUCGGACACAUGAAAAAGCUUUGAGAUGACCUAAGGAGGUAGAGAGAGGCCAAAUUUCUGAUUCACAGAAACCAUUAGAGAUAAUGAAAUAAUUGUUGUUGUUUUAAACCAGCAAGUUUGGGGAGCAAUCUGUUAGGUAGCAAUAAGGACUGGAACAGAGAAGAUGAAUAAUAGUUUUUUGGUUUUCCAAAAGAACUUACUCUCCAAGUAUUAUCUUUGUUUUUGCUAAAUCCUUUGUAUUAGUCUAGGCUCUUAGAGCGACAGAAUCAAGAGGAGAUAUGUACCUAUAUCUGUAUCUCUAUAUAUGAAAGGAGAUUUAUUUGGGGAAUUGGCACAUGCAAUUAUGGCAGAAGUCCCACAAUCGGCCGUCUGCAACCUGGAGAACCAGGGAAGCCAGCAGCAUGGCUCAGUCCAAGUCUUAAGGCCACAGAACUAGGGAAGCCGAUGGUGUAGCUCUCAGUGGGAGGCUGGAGCCCUCAGACACCGGGCGGCCACUGGUACAAGUUCUGUAGUACAAAUACUGGAGAACCCAGAGUUCUGAUGCCAAGGGCAGGAGAUGUCCCAGCCCUAGGGGAAAGAC